UACGAAGGGUGCAAGCGUUACUCGGAAUUACUGGGCGUAAAGCGUGCGUAGGUGGUUUGUUAAGUCUGAUGUGAAAGCCCUGGGCUCAACCUGGGAAUUGCAUUGGAUACUGGCAGGCUAGAGUGCGGUAGAGGGUAGUGGAAUUCCCGGUGUAGCAGUGAAAUGCGUAGAGAUCGGGAGGAACAUCUGUGGCGAAGGCGGCCUUCUGGACAGUGACUGACGCUGAGACGCGAAGGCGUGGGGAGCAAACAGG
rnacentral:rRNA from 1 species